rnacentral:rRNA from 1 species
AGUGAACGCUGGCGGUAGGCCUAACACAUGCAAGUCGAACGGCAGCACAGUAAGAGCUUGCUCUUACGGGUGGCGAGUGGCGGACGGGUGAGGAAUACAUCGGAAUCUACUUUUUCGUGGGGGAUAACGUAGGGAAACUUACGCUAAUACCGCAUACGACCUACGGGUGAAAGCAGGGGAUCUUCGGACCUUGCGCGAUUGAAUGAGCCGAUAUCGGAUUAGCUAGUUGGCGGGGUAAAGGCCCACCAGGGCGACGAUCCGUAGCUGGUCUGAGAGGAUGAUCAGCCACACUGGAACUGAGACACGGUCCAGACUCCUACGGGAGGCAGCAGUGGGGAAUAUUGGACAAUGGGCGCAAGCCUGAUCCAGCCAUACCGCGUGGGUGAAGAAGGCCUUCGGGUUGUAAAGCCCUUUUGUUGGGAAAGAAAAGCAGCAGGUUAAUACCCCGCUGUUCUGACGGUACCCAAAGAAUAAGCACCGGCUAACUUCGUG